ensembl:lncRNA
UAGUGAACGACCUUAGAGGCUAGACAGUUUUGUUGUUGGAGUGGAUAUCCUUUCAUUCAGUUUCUGUUUUUCAUCCAUCACCCUGGAGCCCCAAGAGGAAGUGGAUCUGACGGAAUUCAGAAGAACCGAAUCCCUGAAACAGCGGCAGUUCAAAGCAGAGAACCAGGAUCUCACCAAAGAGAUCGAACGACUGGAAGGGGAGAUACUUGAACUGAAGAAACAAAUCAGAGGAAUGGUAAAGGACAAAGGUAAAUACCAGAGUAUAUAACAGCGGUACACAAUAGGAGAGAGACAGAUAAUAUCUCCUUUCUUCGUAAAUGUCAACCAUAAAGGAAAAGGGCAAAGUACGAGAGUCAUGCUAUUAAUUGUCCAACGCAGGAAUGGAGAGUAAGCUAGUGAGGUAGGCUGCAGUGGGUUUGCUGGCCAAGACAUAUACUGAACAUGUAACCACAGUAAUGGUGGCCAGUAAAUCAAUUAAUAAAAAUGUAAUAUUGACAAAUAUUGACAAAUUGAUGUACAUUUCAGAGCCUCUUCAGUGUGGAUGGGGUAUAGCAUACAUUUUCAACAACAGACUGUACUUCCAGUUUGUGUUGUUUACUCUGUUGAACUCUUUUAUCUUCAUUCCUAGGCACAGCACAUAGAACCACCGUUGGCAGGCAAAACAUUCAAUCAAAACAAAACGAUGCGUAGCACGUUAUAAAUAAUAUCAAAUAUCAAUGCAGAAUGACGAAUUAGCCAUCCAUUGUGUUAAAGUGUAUAAUAAAGUGUCUUCUAUGCCGUCACUGUUGUCAAAAGAUUAUAAACAUGUUAAAUAAAGUUACUAACCCA